UAUUUCCUUGCUUCCAUUACAUCACAAAGAUCCCGAUAUGUUAAGGAUUUUGAGAAUACUAAAAUUGACCUGGCUGAAAGGCUUUUUGCCUUUUACAAUAAGACCAUCUUCGGCAAUAAGCUUCCUAAAAUCAAGAUUACCUGGAAUAAGAGACUGACUUCCACAGGAGGCCAGUGCUUUUAUUGCAUUUCUGAUGACGAGCGAUAUAGCCGAAUAGAGCUGUCGGACAAGGUCUGUGAUUCUGCAGACCGAGUAAGGGACAUUUUAGCACAAGAGAUGUGCCAUGCGGCCACAUGGAUUAUAGAUGGCAGCAAAACUGAUGGUCAUGGUGACCUCUGGCAGGCCCAUGCGGAUAGAGUCACCCAAAUACACCCCGGGCUGCCCAAGGUGACAAUGUGCCAUGACUACGCCAUCAACUAUACGUUCACCUAUCGUUGUGAUGCUUGUAAUAAAACCGUUGGACGUUUUAGAGAAAUUCCAAUGGAUAAAGCCAUUUGCCGCAUCUGCCAAAGCAGACUUUGCCUAGUGAGCCCUAGAUGAUCUGCUGAUAAAAAGAAUUUCUAAACUUUUCCCUUUCCCCAUCUUUCCCAAUUACCCUACCCUAUCC